AGAGUUUGAUCCUGGCUCAGAACGAACGCUGGCGGCAGGCCUAACACAUGCAAGUCGAACGGAUCCUUCGGGAUUAGUGGCGGACGGGUGAGUAACACGUGGGAACGUGCCCUUUGGUUCGGAACAACUCAGGGAAACUUGAGCUAAUACCGGAUGUGCCCUUCGGGGGAAAGAUUUAUCGCCAUUGGAGCGGCCCGCGUCUGAUUAGCUAGUUGGUGGGGUAAAGGCCCACCAAGGCGACGAUCAGUAGCUGGUCUGAGAGGAUGAUCAGCCACAUUGGGACUGAGACACGGCCCAAACUCCUACGGGAGGCAGCAGUGGGGAAUCUUGCGCAAUGGGCGAAAGCCUGACGCAGCCAUGCCGCGUGAAUGAUGAAGGUCUUAGGAUUGUAUAAUUCUUUCACCGGGGACGAUAAUGACGGUACCCGGAGAAGAAGCCCCGGCUAACUUCGUGCCAGCAGCCGCGGUAAUACGAAGGGGGCUAGCGUUGCUCGGAAUUACUGGGCGUAAAGGGAGCGUA
rnacentral:rRNA from 1 species